UACGUAGGGCGCAAGCGUUAUCCGGAAUUAUUGGGCGUAAAGAGCUCGUAGGCGGUUUGUCGCGUCUGCCGUGAAAGUCCGGGGCUCAACUCCGGAUCUGCGGUGGGUACGGGCAGACUAGAGUGAUGUAGGGGAGACUGGAAUUCCUGGUGUAGCGGUGAAAUGCGCAGAUAUCAGGAAGAGCACCCGUGGCGAAGGCGGCUCUCUGGGACGGUACUGACGGCUGAGACGCGAAAGCGUGGGGAGCGAACAGG
rnacentral:rRNA from 1 species